rnacentral:rRNA from 1 species
GACGAACGCUGGCGGCGUGCUUAACACAUGCAAGUCGAGCGGUAAGGCCCUUUCGGGGGUACGACGAGCGGCGAACGGGUGAGUAACACGUGGGUGACCUGCCCUCAGCUCUGGGAUAAGCCUGGGAAACCGGGUCUAAUACUGGAUAUGACUCCAUGACGCAUGUUGUGGGGUGGAAAGCCUUGUGCGGCUGAGGAUGGGCCCGCGGCCUAUCAGCUUGUUGGUGGGGGUGAGGCCUACCAAGGCGACGACGGGGUAGCCGGCCUGAGAGGGCGACCGGCCACACUGGGGACUGAGACACGGCCCAGACUCCUACGGGAGGCAGCAGUGGGGGAAUCUUGCGCAAUGGGCGAAAGCCUGACGCAGCGACGCCGCGUGAGGGAUGACGGCCU